UAAGGAAUAUUAUGCAAUGGACGCAAGNCUNACAUAGCCAUGCCGCGUGCAGGAUGAAGGCGCUCUGCGUUGUAAACUGCUUUUAUCUGGGAAGAAAUCCCCGNUUUCUACGGGAGUUGACGGUACCAGAGGAAUAAGCACCGGCUAACUCCGUGCCAGCAGCCGCGGUAAUACGGAGGGUGCAAGCGUUAUCCGGAUUUACUGGGUUUAAAGGGUGCGUAGGCGGGCAGUUAAGUCAGUGGUGAAAUCUCCGAGCUUAACUUGGAAACUGCCAUUGAUACUAUCUGUCUUGAAUCUUGUGGAGGUAAAUGGAAUAUGUCAUGUAGCGGUGAAAUGCUUAGAGAUGACAUGGAACACCAAUUGCGAAGGCAGUUUGNUACACAAGUAUUGACGCUGAGGNACUAAAGCGUGGGGAUCAAACAGGAUUAGAGACCCUGGUAGUCCACGCCCUAAACUAUGAGUACUCGACAUUAGUGAUACACUAUUAGUGUCUAANCGAAAGCAUUAAGUACUCCACCUGGGAAGUACGACCGCAAGGUUG
rnacentral:rRNA from 1 species